UACAGAGGUCUCAAGCGUUGUUCAGAUUCAUUGGGCGUAAAGGGUGUGUAGGUGGCGCCGUAAGUCGGGUGUGAAAUUUCGGAGCUUAACUCCGAAACUGCAUUCGAUACUGCGGUGCUUGAGGACUGGAGAGGAGACUGGAAUUCAUGGUGUAGCAGUGAAAUGCGUAGAUAUCGUAAGGAAGACCAGUGGCGAAGGCGGGUCUCUGGACAGUUCCUGACGCUGAGGCACGAAGGCCAGGGGAGCAAAUGGG
rnacentral:rRNA from 1 species